rnacentral:rRNA from 1 species
UACGGAAGGCAGCAGUGGGGAAUAUUGCACAAUGGGCGCAAGCCUGAUGCAGCCAUGCCGCGUGUAUGAAGAAGGCCUUCGGGUUGUAAAGUACUUUCAGUCGUGAGGAAGGUGUUAAGGUUAAUAACCUUAGCAAUUGACGUUAGCGACAGAAGAAGCACCGGCUAACUCCGUGCCAGCAGCCGCGGUAAUACGGAGGGUGCGAGCGUUAAUCGGAAUUACUGGGCGUAAAGGGCACGCAGGCGGUUAAUUAAGUUGGAUGUGAAAUCCCCGGGCUUAACCUGGGAAUGGCAUUCAAGACUGGUUAGCUAGAGUCUUGUAGAGGGGGUAGAAUUCCAUGUGUAGCGGUGAAAUGCGUAGAGAUGUGGAGGAAAUACCGGUGGGCGAAGGCGGCCCCUGGGACAAAGACUGACGCUCAUGUGCGAAAGCGUGGGGAGCAAACAGGGAUUAGAUACC